AGACGUCCACACGGGAGUCCGCGGCAGCGGGCUGAGAGGGAGCUGGAGCCGCUCCGACCGUUACACCUGAUCCGGAUCAUGCCGGCGAAGGAAGUGAUUGGUUGUGCUUC
rfam:Nocardioides luteus strain BAFB contig00017, whole genome shotgun sequence.